GAGAAAAGGAACAAAAAAUUUUGCUAUUUUCUUGGAACGAUUUUGCUGCACUUUGAAGGAGGAAAAGAUAGCUUUUUGCUACAAUUUUUGGAGGAAGAACAAGCUUAAAAUUUUGAGAAAAUUGGAUAGCUUUGUGCUGCCAAAAUUGAGGAGUUUUGUUGCUGGAAAUUGAGCUAAAAAUCUGCUGAUUUUAGAGCAAAAAAUGGCAGCAAAAAGGGUGAGAAAAUGAGGCUUUUGGUGAUCGAUUUUGAGAGGAAAGGAAUAGAGGAAGCCAUGGUGGUGAAGAGAG